GGGUUGUGAGGUUAAGCGACUAAGCGUACACGGUGGAUGCCCUGGCAGUCAGAGGCGAUGAAGGGCGUACUAAUCUGCGAUAAGCGCCGGUAAGGUGAUAUGAACCGUUAUAACCGGCGAUACCCGAAUGGGGAAACCCAGUGUGAUUCGUCACACUAUCAUUAACUGAAUCCAUAGGUUAAUGAGGCGAACCGGGGGAACUGAAACAUCUAAGUACCCCGAGGAAAAGAAAUCAACCGAGAUUCCCCCAGUAGCGGCGAGCGAACGGGGAGGAGCCCAGAGCCUGAAUCAGCAUGUGUGUUAGUGGAAGCGUCUGGAAAGGCGCGCGAUACAGGGUGACAGCCCCGUACACAAAAGCGCAUGUGCUGUGAGCUCGAUGAGUAGGGCGGGACACGUGGUAUCCUGUCUGAAUAUGGGGGGACCAUCCUCCAAGGCUAAAUACUCCUGACUGACCGAUAGUGAACCAGUACCGUGAGGGAAAGGCGAAAAGAACCCCGGCGAGGGGAGUGAAAAAGAACCUGAAACCGUGUACGUACAAGCAGUGGGAGCACCCUUUGGGUGUGACUGCGUACCUUUUGUAUAAUGGGUCAGCGACUUAUAUUCUGUAGCAAGGUUAACCGAAUAGGGGAGCCGGAGGGAAACCGAGUCUUAACCGGGCGUUAAGUUGCAGGGUAUAGACCCGAAACCCGGUGAUCUAGCCAUGGGCAGGUUGAAGGUUGGGUAACACUAACUGGAGGACCGAACCGACUAAUGUUGAAAAAUUAGCGGAUGACCUGUGGCUGGGGGUGAAAGGCCAAUCAAACCGGGAGAUAGCUGGUUCUCCCCGAAAGCUAUUUAGGUAGCGCCUCGUGAAUUCAUCUCCGGGGGUAGAGCACUGUUUCGGCUAGGGGGCCAUCCCGGCUUACCAACCCGAUGCAAACUGCGAAUACCGGAGAAUGUUAUCACGGGAGACACACGGCGGGUGCUAACGUCCGUCGUGAAGAGGGAAACAACCCAGACCGCCAGCUAAGGUCCCAAAGUCAUGGUUAAGUGGGAAACGAUGUGGGAAGGCCCAGACAGCCAGGAUGUUGGCUUAGAAGCAGCCAUCAUUUAAAGAAAGCGUAAUAGCUCACUGGUCGAGUCGGCCUGCGCGGAAGAUGUAACGGGGCUAAACCAUGCACCGAAGCUGCGGCAGCGACACUGUGUGUUGUUGGGUAGGGGAGCGUUCUGUAAGCCUGUGAAGGUGUGUCGUGAGGCAUGCUGGAGGUAUCAGAAGUGCGAAUGCUGACAUAAGUAACGAUAAAGCGGGUGAAAAGCCCGCUCGCCGGAAGACCAAGGGUUCCUGUCCAACGUUAAUCGGGGCAGGGUGAGUCGACCCCUAAGGCGAGGCCGAAAGGCGUAGUCGAUGGGAAACGGGUUAAUAUUCCCGUACUUGGUGUUACUGCGAAGGGGGGACGGAGAAGGCUAUGUUGGCCGGGCGACGGUUGUCCCGGUUUAAGCGUGUAGGUGUGUGUUCCAGGUAAAUCCGGUUCACUUUAACACUGAGGCGUGACGACGAGGCACUACGGUGCUGAAGCAACAAAUGCCCUGCUUCCAGGAAAAGCCUCUAAGCAUCAGGUAACAUCAAAUCGUACCCCAAACCGACACAGGUGGUCAGGUAGAGAAUACCAAGGCGCUUGAGAGAACUCGGGUGAAGGAACUAGGCAAAAUGGUGCCGUAACUUCGGGAGAAGGCACGCUGACACGUAGGUGAAGUGAUUUACUCAUGGAGCUGAAGUCAGUCGAAGAUACCAGCUGGCUGCAACUGUUUAUUAAAAACACAGCACUGUGCAAACACGAAAGUGGACGUAUACGGUGUGACGCCUGCCCGGUGCCGGAAGGUUAAUUGAUGGGGUCAGCGCAAGCGAAGCUCCUGAUCGAAGCCCCGGUAAACGGCGGCCGUAACUAUAACGGUCCUAAGGUAGCGAAAUUCCUUGUCGGGUAAGUUCCGACCUGCACGAAUGGCGUAAUGAUGGCCAGGCUGUCUCCACCCGAGACUCAGUGAAAUUGAACUCGCUGUGAAGAUGCAGUGUACCCGCGGCAAGACGGAAAGACCCCGUGAACCUUUACUAUAGCUUGACACUGAACAUUGAGCCUUGAUGUGUAGGAUAGGUGGGAGGCUUUGAAGUGUGGACGCCAGUCUGCAUGGAGCCGACCUUGAAAUACCACCCUUUAAUGUUUGAUGUUCUAACGUGGACCCGUUACCCGGGUUGCGGACAGUGUCUGGUGGGUAGUUUGACUGGGGCGGUCUCCUCCUAAAGAGUAACGGAGGAGCACGAAGGUUGGCUAAUCCUGGUCGGACAUCAGGAGGUUAGUGCAAUGGCAUAAGCCAGCUUGACUGCGAGCGUGACGGCGCGAGCAGGUGCGAAAGCAGGUCAUAGUGAUCCGGUGGUUCUGAAUGGAAGGGCCAUCGCUCAACGGAUAAAAGGUACUCCGGGGAUAACAGGCUGAUACCGCCCAAGAGUUCAUAUCGACGGCGGUGUUUGGCACCUCGAUGUCGGCUCAUCACAUCCUGGGGCUGAAGUAGGUCCCAAGGGUAUGGCUGUUCGCCAUUUAAAGUGGUACGCGAGCUGGGUUUAGAACGUCGUGAGACAGUUCGGUCCCUAUCUGCCGUGGGCGCUGGAGAACUGAGGGGGGCUGCUCCUAGUACGAGAGGACCGGAGUGGACGCAUCACUGGUGUUCGGGUUGUCAUGCCAAUGGCACUGCCCGGUAGCUAAAUGCGGAAGAGAUAAGUGCUGAAAGCAUCUAAGCACGAAACUUGCCCCGAGAUGAGUUCUCCCUGAGACUUAGAGUCUCCUGAAGGAACGUUGAAGACGACGACGUUGAU
rnacentral:rRNA from 1 species